CACGUAGGGGGCAAGCGUUGUCCGGAUUUAUUGGGCGUAAAGAGCUCGUAGGCGGUUCGAUAAGUCGGGUGUGAAACCUCCAGGCUCAACCUGGAGACGCCACCCGAUACUGUCGUGACUAGAGUCCAGUAGGGGAGCGUGGAAUUCCUGGUGUAGCGGUGAAAUGCGUAGAGAUCGGGAAGAAUACCAGUGGCGAAGGCGUUCUGCUGGGCCGUUGCUGACACUGAGGCGCGACAGCGUGGGGAGCAAACAGG
rnacentral:rRNA from 1 species